rnacentral:rRNA from 1 species
UACGAAGGGGGCUAGCGUUGUUCGGAGUCACAGGGCGUAAAGCGCACGUAGGCGGAUUGUUAAGUCAGGGGUGAAAUCCCGAGGCUCAACCUCGGAACUGCCUUUGAUACUGGCGAUCUAGAGUCCGGGAGAGGUGAGUGGAACUGCGAGUGUAGAGGUGAAAUUCGUAGAUAUUCGCAAGAACACCAGUGGCGAAGGCGGCUCACUGGCCCGGAACUGACGCUGAGGUGCGAAAGCGUGGGGAGCAAAUAGG